GUAGGAGCCGAGCUUGCUCGCGAUGGCGUCGUGUCAGUCGAUAUUAAAUUGGGCUGACACACCGCCAUCGCGAGCAAGCUCGGCUCCUAC
rnacentral:antisense_RNA from 1 species